rnacentral:rRNA from 1 species
GAUUUUUCUGCCCAUUGUAUUUAAAAGGCUGCAGUAAUUUAACUGUACAAAGGUAGCAAAAUCAAUAGUUUUUUAAUUGAAAACUUGAAUGAAAGAGUUGAUAAAAUAUAUAUUGUCUCAAAAAUUGAAAUUAAAUUAAAAGUUAAAAUUCUUUUAUAAAUUUAUUAGACGAUAAGACCCUAAGAAUUUUAUAAUUAUAUAAAUAUUUAUAUAUUUAAUGAAAUUUAAUUAUUUUAUUGGGAGGGUAAUUAAAAUUAACUUUAAUUUUUUUAAACUUUGAUUAAUGAGUUAAAUGAUUAUUUUUAUGAUUAUAAGAAUAAAUUACCUUAGGGAUAACAGCGUAAUAAUUUUGGAAAGUUCAUAUUUAUAGAAUUGUUUACGACCUCGAUGUUGAAUUAAAAUAAAAAUUAAAUGGAGAAGUUUAAAUU